rnacentral:lncRNA from 1 species
GUCCUGUCACUCAAGAAUCCACUUUUUAGCGAGUGCUUGAAUCUCAUAUAUGCAUAUGUAAGGCGUAAUCGUUGUAAAAACACAACAUACGAACUACAUAUAUCUGUAAAAUCAGUUGAACACUAACAUUAAAAUAAUAGACACAAAGUACCGAUAGCGUUCCAAUUUGUUUUACUUGUUUUGUGAUUUACGAGAAAUACUCCGA